AGCGUACACGGUGGAUGCCCUGGCAGUCAGAGGCGAUGAAGGACGUGCUAAUCUGCGAUAAGCGUCGGUAAGGUGAUAUGAACCGUUAUAACCGGCGAUUUCCGAAUGGGGAAACCCAGUGUGAUUCGUCACACUAUCAUUAACUGAAUCCAUAGGUUAAUGAGGCGAACCGGGGGAACUGAAACAUCUAAGUACCCCGAGGAAAAGAAAUCAACCGAGAUUCCCCCAGUAGCGGCGAGCGAACGGGGAGCAGCCCAGAGCCUGAAUCAGUGUGUGUGUUAGUGGAAGCGUCUGGAAAGGCGCGCGAUACAGGGUGACAGCCCCGUACACAAAAAUGCACAUGCUGUGAGCUCGAUGAGUAGGGCGGGACACGUGGUAUCCUGUCUGAAUAUGGGGGGACCAUCCUCCAAGGCUAAAUACUCCUGACUGACCGAUAGUGAACCAGUACCGUGAGGGAAAGGCGAAAAGAACCCCGGCGAGGGGAGUGAAAAAGAACCUGAAACCGUGUACGUACAAGCAGUGGGAGCACGCUUAGGCGUGUGACUGCGUACCUUUUGUAUAAUGGGUCAGCGACUUAUAUUCUGUAGCAAGGUUAACCGAAUAGGGGAGCCGAAGGGAAACCGAGUCUUAACUGGGCGUUAAGUUGCAGGGUAUAGACCCGAAACCCGGUGAUCUAGCCAUGGGCAGGUUGAAGGUUGGGUAACACUAACUGGAGGACCGAACCGACUAAUGUUGAAAAAUUAGCGGAUGACUUGUGGCUGGGGGUGAAAGGCCAAUCAAACCGGGAGAUAGCUGGUUCUCCCCGAAAGCUAUUUAGGUAGCGCCUCGUGAAUUCAUCUCCGGGGGUAGAGCACUGUUUCGGCAAGGGGGUCAUCCCGACUUACCAACCCGAUGCAAACUGCGAAUACCGGAGAAUGUUAUCACGGGAGACACACGGCGGGUGCUAACGUCCGUCGUGAAGAGGGAAACAACCCAGACCGCCAGCUAAGGUCCCAAAGUCAUGGUUAAGUGGGAAACGAUGUGGGAAGGCCCAGACAGCCAGGAUGUUGGCUUAGAAGCAGCCAUCAUUUAAAGAAAGCGUAAUAGCUCACUGGUCGAGUCGGCCUGCGCGGAAGAUGUAACGGGGCUAAACCAUGCACCGAAGCUGCGGCAGCGACACUAUGUGUUGUUGGGUAGGGGAGCGUUCUGUAAGCCUGCGAAGGUGUGCUGUGAGGCAUGCUGGAGGUAUCAGAAGUGCGAAUGCUGACAUAAGUAACGAUAAAGCGGGUGAAAAGCCCGCUCGCCGGAAGACCAAGGGUUCCUGUCCAACGUUAAUCGGGGCAGGGUGAGUCGACCCCUAAGGCGAGGCCGAAAGGCGUAGUCGAUGGGAAACAGGUUAAUAUUCCUGUACUUGGUGUUACUGCGAAGGGGGGACGGAGAAGGCUAUGUUGGCCGGGCGACGGUUGUCCCGGUUUAAGCGUGUAGGCUGGUUUUCCAGGCAAAUCCGGAAAAUCAAGGCUGAGGCGUGAUGACGAGGCACUACGGUGCUGAAGCAACAAAUGCCCUGCUUCCAGGAAAAGCCUCUAAGCAUCAGGUAACAUCAAAUCGUACCCCAAACCGACACAGGUGGUCAGGUAGAGAAUACCAAGGCGCUUGAGAGAACUCGGGUGAAGGAACUAGGCAAAAUGGUGCCGUAACUUCGGGAGAAGGCACGCUGAUAUGUAGGUGAAGCGACUUGCUCGUGGAGCUGAAAUCAGUCGAAGAUACCAGCUGGCUGCAACUGUUUAUUAAAAACACAGCACUGUGCAAACACGAAAGUGGACGUAUACGGUGUGACGCCUGCCCGGUGCCGGAAGGUUAAUUGAUGGGGUUAGCGCAAGCGAAGCUCUUGAUCGAAGCCCCGGUAAACGGCGGCCGUAACUAUAACGGUCCUAAGGUAGCGAAAUUCCUUGUCGGGUAAGUUCCGACCUGCACGAAUGGCGUAAUGAUGGCCAGGCUGUCUCCACCCGAGACUCAGUGAAAUUGAACUCGCUGUGAAGAUGCAGUGUACCCGCGGCAAGACGGAAAGACCCCGUGAACCUUUACUAUAGCUUGACACUGAACAUUGAGCCUUGAUGUGUAGGAUAGGUGGGAGGCUUUGAAGUGUGGACGCCAGUCUGCAUGGAGCCGACCUUGAAAUACCACCCUUUAAUGUUUGAUGUUCUAACGUUGACCCGUAAUCCGGGUUGCGGACAGUGUCUGGUGGGUAGUUUGACUGGGGCGGUCUCCUCCUAAAGAGUAACGGAGGAGCACGAAGGUUGGCUAAUCCUGGUCGGACAUCAGGAGGUUAGUGCAAUGGCAUAAGCCAGCUUGACUGCGAGCGUGACGGCGCGAGCAGGUGCGAAAGCAGGUCAUAGUGAUCCGGUGGUUCUGAAUGGAAGGGCCAUCGCUCAACGGAUAAAAGGUACUCCGGGGAUAACAGGCUGAUACCGCCCAAGAGUUCAUAUCGACGGCGGUGUUUGGCACCUCGAUGUCGGCUCAUCACAUCCUGGGGCUGAAGUAGGUCCCAAGG
rnacentral:rRNA from 1 species